UUCCGUCGAGUUUGACUUUUGCACUGGUUAAUUCAGGUUUUAAAGGUUCAAUUUAUUUGAUCAACUAAGUUUUUCCAUCAGUUCUACUUCUACUCUUGUGGUUUUGGAGUAAUGAGGCUUUGCAGACGAUCACACUUUUGUGCUUAGAAUAUGACUCCUCGCUGUCACAGGUAACCAACCUCAUCAAAUGGCAUAUCCUAAAAAGCUGUGUUCUCUAAAAUCUUAUUUCACUUGUUUUUCUAUUUCAGAUUAAUCAAAAGGCAUCAUUAUUAAGAAAUCUUGGAGGAAACUGGAGAUUUGUGUAAUUUAUAAAACUAGAAUUUUUAUGUUUUUCUUCCAUUAAUCACCUUAAAAACACCUGAUUGAUGGUCUCAUGAUCAGCCGAGUCACCAGAGCAGGGGCUUCUCUCCCUCUGUUCUACAUUUUCAUCAUACUUGAUUACUUGAUUACCACAACCAGCAAUCCCCCAACACCUCAGUACUACCAGCCUGUAUCUUUUGUCACGCUUUUUACAAAUUUAUAUGAAAACUUUUAGCUUUUGUUUCUUCAGUGUUCUACUUUAAUUCUCAUUUAAUGCUUUCUCUGAGUUUAAUUCAAUUUAUACCAUAUGUUGAAUGUGUAUGCAGGCCAUACAAGUCUUUUGACCUCAACCUAGAACACAAUCUUAUUUCAAUGCAGGUCAACAGGCUUAGUGGGGAUAUAAAACACAUCAAGCAGGAGAAGCAGCAGGAAAAAAGAAAAAAAUACAACAAAAAAAUCCUGCAUAUGGAAAAUGUGGCGACAUCUAAGACCACAUCUGAAACAAGAAGUUAAAGCAGGUAAAAAAAAGGGUGAUAAGAAAUAACCAUUUCAGCAUGAAAUCAGGAAGUCAAAGCACAGCAUAUAAACCAAUCACAUCAAAAUGGCAAAAUGACAAACGCACUAUAGUGAGUUGGGAAGGAAUUCGGACACUAAAUCCCAUUUCAGCAUUUUAGUUGUUCAAAUGUAUUAUUGCAAUUCAACUGAACAAGGUCAUGUUGUUCAUAUAAAAUAAAACAUUAAGUCAAACACAUCUCAACUAAACAAAAAUUCUCAAAAUGAAAUGUAGUGUUCAGUUAACAAUUUGAGUUCAAUCGUCUUUUGGCCCUUCCGACAUGUAACCACUAGGUGGCGGUAAGAGUGCAAAUGUUCCCUUUUUUCUUAGAAGAAGUAGAAGAUGAAGCUACAGUUGGCUGAACUUCGCGGCUUUUUCAUAUGUUGUUCAUAUGUUCAUAUGUUCCAUAUGUUGAUGGGUCGUCAUUUUGCUGAGGAGGUGGCAUUUUUUUUUUUUUUUUUAGACAAAAUAAAGGAUAUUUUGGACAAACACAAGACAAAACACCACAUCUUGUCAGGCGGCUCCUUCCUCCACGACAACGGGCUUGUAUCUGCGGCAGGUAAUUGCAGUAAAAAAAACCUUUUUGUUAAAUGUGAAAUACUGACAUGAUUGUUUUUAUCUGUAUUUAUUCCAAGAUUCGCCUGCAGCGUGUCGCGGAGGAGAAAUACAUUCAUUCAUAUGGAUUGAAGCAGAAUCUGACAUCUGUUAAUCUCGACUACUUUCUUCAAUAGACUGGAUCAGUUCCUACCAGGGCUACUAGACCUGUACAAGACCACGGCUGGGACGCUAGUUGGACUGAGCAAUCUGUUUUGAACAACCCUCUACUCAAAUAAAGAUGGAAAUUGUUCUGCUGGGCCUUCCCCACUUUCUCAAGGAGGACCCAAAACUGCUGAGUCCCCUGAUGAGGAGGCUUCAAUCAAUGGGAGGGCUGAAACUUGGCGUUGUACUAAUUGAAGAUGGAGAAGACAUGGUGGAACAUCAGUUGUUCUUGAAAAACAAAUCAUUUUGAACAAUAUGAAGGACUUUCCUCAUGCCAUUGCUCUGCUGAUGGGUCUGCUGUCUGCGCCCAACAUGGACUAUACCAAAGGCCUGCAGUACACUGAAGUCAUUAAAAGAUCUUCACGGACAUUGGUGAGGGACAGUGCUCCUUGUUAGUUCAUGGUCUGAGAAAUACAAUAUAGAUUUUGCUUUUGGUUUGAUUAAUGAUGGUUUUGUCUACAGAACGUUAUGAAAGUAACCUGUAAAGGAAGGAGUCCUUGCCCAACGUAUGAUUUUUUUCUCCUGAGCAUAAUGGGAGUAAGAAAUGUCCAUCCUGAAAUUAUUUUUUGUUUGGAAAAUAAAGAAAUUAUGG